rnacentral:rRNA from 1 species
AUUGAACGCUGGCGGCAGGCCUAACACAUGCAAGUCGAACGAGUGGCGGACGGGUGAGUAAUGUCUGGGAAACUGCCUGAUGGAGGGGGAUAACUACUGGAAACGGUAGCUAAUACCGCAUACCUUCGGAUGUGACCAGAGGGGAUUAGCUAGUAGGUGGGGUAACGGCUCACAUAGGCGACGAUCCCUAGCUGGUCUGAGAGGAUGACCAGCCACACUGGAGCUGCGGUACGGCCCAGACUCGUACGGGCGGCAGCAGUGGGGGAUAAUGCACAAUGGACGAAAGUCUGCUGCAGCGACAUCGUGUGGGGGAUGGAGGCCUUCGGGUUGUAAACUCCUGUCGCCAGAGGAAUGGUAGUGGGUAAAGAAGCGCCGGCUAACUACGUGCCAGCCGCCGCGGUAAUAC